rnacentral:tRNA from 1 species
UCCCUGGAGGUCCAGUGGUUAGGACUCCACACUUUGACUGUCGAGGGCCUGGUUCAAUCCUUGGUUGGGGAA